rnacentral:lncRNA from 1 species
AUUUUAGUUCAUUUAAUGUUUUUAUACGACCGCAAAAUUUGAAAAAUUUUUCGUCGUAUAUUGCUAUCACGUUGGCGUCGGCGUCGUCGUCGUCGUCCGGCGUCCGAAUACUUUUAGUUUUCGCACUCUAACUUUAGUAAAAGUGAAUGGAAAUCUAUGAAAUUUUAACACAAGGUUUAUGACCACAAAAGGAAGGUUGGUAUUGAUUAUGGGAGUUUUGGUCCCAACAUUUUAGGAAUUAGGGGCCAAAAAGGGCCCAAAUAAGCAUUUUCUUGGUUUUCACACUAUAACUUUAGUUUAAGUUAAUAGAAAUCUAUGAAAUUUUGACACAAGGUUUAUGACCACAAAAGAAAGGUUGGGAUUGAUUUUGGGAGUUUUGGUUCCAACAGUUUAGGAAUUAGGGGCCAAAAAAGGGCCCAAAUAAGCAUUAUUCUAGGUUUUCGCACAAUAACUUUAGCUUAAGUAAAUAGAAAUCAAUGAAAUUUAAACACAAUGUUUAUGACCACAAAAGGAAGGUUGGUAUUGAUUUUGGGAGUUUUGGUCCUAACAGUUUAGGAAUAAGGGGC